GAUGAACGCUGGCGGCGUGCCUAAUACAUGCAAGUCGAGCGAACGGACGAGAAUCUUGCUUCUCUGAUGUUAGCGGCGCACGUGUGAGUAACACGUGGAUAACCUACCUAUAAGACUGGGAUAACUUCGGGAAACCGGAGCUAAUACCGGAUAAUAUUUUGAACCGCAUGGUUCAAAAGUGAAAGACGGUCUUGCUGUCACUUAUAGAUGGAUCCGCGCUGCAUUAGCUAGUUGUUAAGGUAACGGCUUACCAAGGCAACGAUGCAUAGCCGACCGGAGAGGGGGAUCGGCCACACUGGAGCUGAGACACGGUCCAGACUCCUACGGGAGGCAGCAGUAGGGAACCUUCCGCAAUGGGCGAAAGCAUGACGGAGCAACGCCGCGUGAGUGAUGAAGGUCUUCGGAUCGUAAAGCUCUGUUAUUAGGGAAGAACAGAUGUGUAAGUAACUGUGCACAUCUUGACGGUACCUAAUCAGAAAGCCACGGCUAACUACGUG
rnacentral:rRNA from 1 species